GACGAACGCUGGCGGCGUGCUUAACACAUGCAAGUCGAGCGGUAAGGCCCUUUCGGGGGUACACGAGCGGCGAACGGGUGAGUAACACGUGGGUGACCUGCCUUUAGCUCUGGGAUAAGCCUGGGAAACUGGGUCUAAUACCGGAUAUGACUCCGCGGUGCAUGCUGUGGGGUGGAAAGCCUUGUGCGGCUGGAGAUGGGCCCGCGGCCUAUCAGCUUGUUGGUGGGGUGAUGGCCUACCAAGGCGACGACGGGUAGCCGGCCUGAGAGGGCGACCGGCCACACUGGGACUGAGACACGGCCCAGACUCCUACGGGAGGCAGCAGUGGGGAAUCUUGCGCAAUGGGCAAAGCCUGACGCAGCGACGCCGCGUGAGGGAUGACGGCCU
rnacentral:rRNA from 1 species